rnacentral:rRNA from 1 species
GAUCAUGGCUCAGGAUGAACGCUGGCGGCGUGCCUAAUACAUGCAAGUCGAACGAGGGUAGCAAUACUCGAGUGGCGAACGGGUGAGUAACACGUAGGUAACCUGCCUUACAGUUUGGGAUACCCGAGGGAAACCUUGGCUAAUACCGAAUAAUUCUUCUGAAGGCAUCUUCGGAAGCUAAAAGGGGCCUUUAAAGCCUCGCUGAAUGAUGGACCUGCGGCGCAUUAGCUAGUUGGUGAGAUAAUAGCCCACCAAGGCGAGGAUGCGUAGCCGACCUAAGAGGGUGAACGGCCACACUGGAACUGAGACACGGUCCAGACUCCUACGGGAGGCAGCAGUAGGGAGUUUUCGGCAAUGGGGGAAACCCUGACCGAGCAACGCCGCGUGAACGAUGAAAGGUCUUCGGAUUGUAAAGUUCUGUUAUAAGGGAAGAAUGAUAGCUUGAGGAAAUGCUAGUUAUUUGACGGUACCUUAUUAGAAAGCCACGGCUAACUACGUGCCAGCAGCAGC